rnacentral:rRNA from 1 species
UUCAUGAAGCUGGAAUUGCUAGUAAUGGCAGGUCAGCAUACUGCCGUGAAUACGUUCCCGGGCCUUGUACACACCGCCCGUCACACCAUGAGAGUUGGGAAUACCCGAAGCCUGUGAGCUAACUUAUAGAGGCAGCAGUCGAAGGUAGAAUCAAUGAUUGGGGUGAAGUCGUAACAAGGUAAC